rnacentral:rRNA from 1 species
UACGAAGGGGGCUAGCGUUGUUCGGAAUCACUGGGCGUAAAGCGCACGCAGGCGGAUCGAUAAGUCGGGGGUGAAAGCCCGGGGCUCAACCUCGGAAUUGCCUUCGAUACUGUCGUUCUCGAGUCCGGGAGAGGUGAGUGGAAUUCCUAGUGUAGAGGUGAAAUUCGUAGAUAUUAGGAAGAACACCAGUGGCGAUGGCGGCGCACUGGCCCGGUACUGACGCUCAGGUGCGAAAGCGUGGGGAGCAAACAGG